CAUGCUCAGCAUUAGGUACCAUCAGCUUGCUCUCUAUAUAGUUUUUAUAGGAUUUUCCCUUUAAUUUUCCUAGGUAUAUUUGGAUUCAGGCUUCUUAGCAUUUGCCUUUCUGUGGUUAAAACCUCAUUAGGCUCCUAUCAUAUUUCAAACUAAAUAGAAUAUCCUGACUAAAAUGUCAGUGACAUUUUUGUAAUGGCUGUGACUGAAAGAAGCUAAAAUACUGGUUGUAAUUUAUUUAUAUAGCAUGCAAAGGUCUUAGGUGAUUUAGAGGGAAGUCUAAAGACAAACAAUCCUUCUGAUCAUAUAAUAGCGUAUUCUCAGAUUAUUUUAGCUUCAUCAGAAGACUUUUAGUUGGCGUGAGCAGUGUCAGAGCUGGAUUAAAAGUCACAGUAUGGUGAUACUCACUAUUCCUAGCCCUGUUCUUCAGAUCCAUACAAAACCAGUUACUGGUUUCAAUGGGUGAUCUGUUGUGCAUUGCUUUCUCACUACAAGAUUCUAUCAAAAUCUUUUCAAAAAAGAUAAAAGGAGCAGCAUGUUCUAGGGCAUUUCUAUUUUGAUGAGUCUCAAAUUUAAAUAUCUAACUUCAGCUUCCGGGUUUAAAGGAGAUGGACUUUUUUUUUUUUUUUUCUUAGCAAAGUGAAAAUUCAAAUGCUAAAUCACAAUCAGCCAAGCCUGUCACUGCCAAAUUAGGGAUGACAAGUAUACCCUGCUGUGUGUAAUUCCAGAGAGAUGUUUUCAGAUAUGAAUUUGGCGUUCAAGAAAGGCAUGAUUUCUUUGUAGCUUUCCUGUCACAUUCACUUUGUAAUACAGUGAUUACUGAGCAUUCAAAAAUAAGUGGUUACCCCAAAAUAUUUUUUGCACUCAAUUUAUUGGUGUGUGCAGCACAGCUGUGUGUUGAUAACCUGUAAUAGUGCAAAAUACUGGAAACUUGAACAGCAGAAUCAGAUAAACCUAGAGAUUAAUCAAGUGCUGUGCUAAUCAAUUUUUUAUAUUUAAUUAAAGUGUUUUGCUUUGGAAGGUUGCUGUGAGAGCUGCAGAAUUUCCAUUCCCAUCCCAGGAGAUGGAUACCAAACCCAGCCAACCCACCAGCCAAUGGUACAGAGAGAGGGCUGGUAGGUGUCACAGGGAGCUGGAGCUGCCACAGCUGAUGAUGGAGCAUGGAGAAGGCUGGGAUACACUUAUGUCUCUUCUUUUCUGAACUGAUGAAUUAGUAAA